rnacentral:tRNA from 1 species
UUUUGCUUGGCGAAAUAGGUAGACGCGUUAGACUUAAAAUCUCAUAACUUUAUAGUUGUAUGGGUUCGAGUCCCAUAGCAAAGA